AGUAGCGCUGGGUGGUUGCUAACCCGCCAGCGAGCCGCGAAGAUAGGGGGCGGGGAAGAAGGAGGAGGUGUCCCCCUCCCUCAUUCACGUUCAGACAUUUACCUGAACUUAACACCUUCCCACCCCCAUCCUAUCCCAUCAAGUCUUUGCUCCAUCCUGAACCGGCUGACAGAACAUUGGUGUAGACUUGUUUUCGCCAGCCUGGAAUGAAGCAAAGUUCUUGUGCACCCAAGAUCUGCUCUCUGUUGUAAAUCCUGCUCAGAUCCGGUCUAAUUGGUUUGGAUAAAGAACCGGAAUCUUUCUCAUC